GGCCCUACGGGAGGCAGCAGUGGGGAAUAUUGGGCAAUGGACGCAAGUCUGACCCAGCAACGCCGCGUGAAGGAAGAAGGCUUUCGGGUUGUAAACUUCUUUUAAGGGGGAAGAGCAGAAGACGGUACCCCUUGAAUAAGCCACGGCUAACUACGUGCCAGCAGCCGCGGUAAUACGUAGGUGGCAAGCGUUGUCCGGAUUUACUGGGUGUAAAGGGCGUGCAGCCGGAGAGACAAGUCAGAUGUGAAAACUAUGGGCUCAACCCAUAGCCUGCAUUUGAAACUGUAUUUCUUGAGUGCUGGAGA
rnacentral:rRNA from 1 species